UGACAGUACUCCUACGGGGAGCAGCAGUGAGGAAUAUUGGUCAAUGGACGCAAGUCUGAACCAGCCAUGUCGCGUGCAGGAAGACUGCCCUAUGGGUUGUAAACUGCUUUUAUAUGGGAAGAAAUAUAGUUACGUGUAAUUAUUUGCCGGUACCAUAUGAAUAAGCAUCGGCUAACUCCGUGCCAGCAGCCGCGGUAAUACGGAGGAUGCGAGCGUUAUCCGGAUUCAUUGGGUUUAAAGGGUGCGUAGGCGGAAUAUUAAGUCAGGGGUGAAAGUUUGUGGCUCAACCAUAAAAUUAGCCUUUGAUACUGGUAUUCUUGAGUACAUUUGAGGUAGGCGGAAUGUGUUGUGUAGCGGUGAAAUGCUUAGAUAUAACACAGAACACCGAUUGCGAAGGCAGCUUACUAAACUAGUCACUGACGCUGAUGCACGAAAGCGUGGGGAUCGAACAGGAUUAGAUACCCUGGUAG
rnacentral:rRNA from 1 species